GACAGAGGUGGCAAGCGUUGUUCGGAUUUAUUGGGUGUAAAGGGUCCGUAGGCGGUCCUGUGAGUCUGACGUGAAAUCCCAUGGCUCAACCGUGGAACUGCGUUGGAAACUGCAGGACUUGAGUACCGCAGAGGUAAAGGGAAUUCUCGGUGUAAGGGUGAAAUCUGUAGAUAUCGAGAGGAACACCAGUGGCGAAGGCGCUUUACUGGGCGGUUACUGACGCUGAGGGACGAAAGCAAGGGGAGCAAACAGG
rnacentral:rRNA from 1 species